rnacentral:rRNA from 1 species
AUUGAACGCUGGCGGCAGGCUUAACACAUGCAAGUCGAGCGGAGAUGAGGUGCUUGCACCUUAUCUUAGCGGCGGACGGGUGAGUAAUGCUUAGGAAUCUGCCUAUUAGUGGGGGACAACAUUCCGAAAGGAAUGCUAAUACCGCAUACGUCCUACGGGAGAAAGCAGGGGAUCUUCGGACCUUGCGCUAAUAGAUGAGCCUAAGUCGGAUUAGCUAGUUGGUGGGGUAAAGGCCUACCAAGGCGACGAGCUGUAGCGGGUCUGAGAGGAUGACCCCCCACACUGGGACUGAGACACGGCCCAGACUCCUCCGGGGGGCAGCAGUGGGGAAUAUUGGACAAUGGGGGGAACCCUGAUCCAGCCAUGCCGCGUGUGUGAAGAAGGCCUUAUGGUUGUAAAGCACUUUGAGCGAGGAGGAGGCUACUGAGACUAAUACUCUUGGAUAGUGGACGUUACUCGCAGAAUAAGCACCGGCUAACUCUGUGCCAGCAGCCGCCGUAA